GAGAUUCUGUAACCAGUUAGCGACAAUUUACGGAUCGCUAUCGCACUUUUUGCCGCAUGAUAUAAAUGCUUUUGCGUUUAAAAGUUAUAGAUAAAUUUU